GAAGUGCGAACCAAGCGUGCGCGAAAGUGCUGUGAGACUUGGAGCGGAUAGCCGUAAGGCUGUCCUGCA
ncrna:unclassified sequences Transposase-2 RNA